GGCUCGCAGCAGGUCUGGAGUC
rnacentral:misc_RNA from 1 species